CCUGGGAUAAUCCAUCAGCUGAGCUGGCUUAACCCCUGGCCAUGUUUUUUCAGGAUGCCAGUCUGCCUGCCCAGCACUGCAGUCCAAGAACUUGGCUUUGUACAGAAACCUAUUGUAUUCAAAAACACUGCUGGUUACAGUGCAACUUUCAGUUUAACUAAGUGAUGGCAACAGUGUUAAUGGCAUUACGUGCGAGUCAGGAUGGAAGACCUGGUCCUCAGCUGGUUUGGUUUGGGCUGGAGAUGCUGUGUUGCAUUUUAUCCAUGAUGUGACUUCCAGGUUCAAGAUUUGGAGGGUCACAUGAAAAAUGUUGGUUUGCCAUUAAGGUUGUCCUGGAUUAUUUCAGUAGAGAUGGUGCCACCUAAAAGUGAAAACCUGAUCUCCUGGCUUCUGAAGUAGGAUGCUUUUGUUCAAAUUAGUUGAGUAUGCAUUGCUGAAAGUUCCCCAGACGCAGACCCUGCAUUUAAGGUGUCCAUGUCUUGCUGCUGAGGAGUCAUCGCUAAAUCAGUGUCUGCAGUUCAAUGCAGAUACAUCAGGAGUGAGCAAGGCUGUCCCCCAACCACCAUGAGUUUCCUCUGCAUAGGGAGAAUGGACACCUACACCCACCUUCUUCAGGUAACAGUCAUCUCUGGAAAUAAUCCUGGACAAAGUCCCCAUAUGGAAAAAACACAUUUUAUCCUCCCAAAAGGCAGGAGCACGCACAGUGCCAGUGAGGCAAAGAGCUAAGGACUGGGGUUUGUGGAGCUCCAGGCAGAGAUUUGCUUGCACACCUCGGCUCCUUGCUUUUUGGACUUGGACUUGAGGUAGGAUCUGUGCUCAGAAAACUUGCAGAUUCUUUGAUCUGAAUCAUGGGUUUGUGGAUUAAGGCACU